CACCCAACCGCCACUUUCCUGGUCUUUCCGCCUCGCGCCACCUCCCGACCCGCCGGCGCCGGCGGCCGGACCGCGCCUCCACCGCCAACUUCGCUUCCAGUCGGCUUGCCCGGCCCCUGCGCACCUCCCCGCCGCCGUUCCCCGCCCUCGCGCGAGCUCGCCAACCCCCACGACGCCCGCAGUCGGCCCUCCAUCGUCGGUAGCUCGGGCUGGCGCCGCCCGCGGCCGACGCCCCGCGACCCUCCCCCACGGCGCUGCCUCGAGGGGCCACACCGCCGCAGCCUCAGCUCGCUUUGAGGAUUGCCGCCGCCUGCUUCACACACGACCUCCCGACGAGGCCUCCUGGCGCCUCCCAUCCCCACAUCUCCGUCGAUUCCGCGCCCCCAACGAACCCCCCUGCCCCUCCCCCAUCUCUCUUCGCCACCUAGGAGCUCCGUCGCGACCUGCGCGCGUGCCACCCAGCCCCCGUCGCAGCCGGUCUCCUCCGCCGCCCAGCGAUGCCGCUGCCACGCCCGAUUUGUAUUGGGAUUGGCAGGGGGGAGAAAGGUGCGGAGGAGGAAGAAGAAGUAGUGGACCAAUGACACGUAGGGCCGGGAGAGUUUGGUGGAUAUGGGUAUCCAAAUUUAGGGAUGCAGUAAAACGAGGACAAGUUUGGGGAACCCAAAUUUUCUCUCCCCUCUAUCCAUAUUGAUUUUGGAUGUUCAAAAUAUGGGUAUGCUGUUGGAUAUGUCGUAGGUCCGCGUUUGGUUGUCUUGCUUUACUGCUUUUGCUUCUAAAAAUCAAAAAAAGCUAACCAAAGCCAUUUCUGACAGCAAAGCAAAGCAAAGAAAGUUGCUCGUCGUAGUGCAUUUCACAAGAAACAACUCAUCUUCUUCCUUUCCCCAUCGCUUCGGCCUCCCCCUUCCCCUCCGCCUCUCCAGAAUCCGGCGCCGCGAUAGAACAUGAGGGUGUAGACGACCGAUCCGACGCAGCUAGUGGUGAAGAGCCCUCGGCGGCGUGAUAGUGGGGCAGUGCGUGGGCGCCCUUCUUGGGCGGGUUGGAGGGGCGGACCUGCAUGGGCUGGUCCGAGGCGCGGGCGGCGGGGCGGCAUGGUGGGCGCAGGCGGGAAAGGCUUGCGGGGAGGCGUAGCGGAGCGACCUCGGGCGGAGGCGGCGAGGCAGGUUCACGCGGAGGAGGCGGGAAGGGCUUGCGGGGAGGCGAGCGGGUUGGCGCGGUGGCGGCGGGUCGGGCUCGUGCAGAGGUCAAGCGCGGCCGAGAUCUUGCAAAGCAGAUGAGCGUUGUUCGUGCGGAGGAGGGGCUCGCGCGGAGGAGGGGUGCGACGGCGGAGGGUCUCGUGCACAAGGACGAGCUCGCUCGGAGGAGGGGCUCGGCGGCGGACAGGGUCGUGCAGAGAAGGUAGAAUGACGAAGGGAGUAGGUUGUAGGAAGGAGAAGCAAGGCUGAACAACCAAACGAGCCUUUUGCUUUUUCAAAGAAAAAAAAACAAAGCUACCUUUUGAGAGAGAAAAAAAUGCAAAGCUGAUUUUGUCAAAAGUAAAGCGAAACCAAACGGAACCUAAAGCUCCCAACAAUUCCUGAGCAUGAAGCAAGUCGUUUUGGAUCAAAUAGUGAAUACCAAAUCCUCACAUGAUGACACUGUUCCUCAUAGCCUUGCGAAGUUUGUACCUUUUUUUUUUCGGGUUGCGAAGUUUGUACCUUGUACGAUCACUAUAAAAGAUAGCUAGUUCUAUCAUCAAACAUCUGCUGGUUCCAUCAAGGCCAAUGACACCUACAUCACCUACCACUACCAGGCACGCUACGCUGCAACUCACGCCGCCGUUCAACAAGGUUACACCUCGUGAAGAAGAAAAAUUGAUUUGUCAAUCAGAUUAUAUGAGUGCACUACAAUGGUUAAAAGGUGGAUGUAAUUUACAAUAACACGUGAAUCUGAAAAAUUCAAUAAAUCUAUGACCAUUGGCCUACACUAUUGAUUUAUCCCUUAUUUAUUUUGUGCAAGUUACAGUAAGUCAUAUUUUUGGAUCAAACCAUACAUGUUAGAAUUGUAUAUUAUUAUGCAAUACAUUCACAUUGUUUUAAUGAUUUUUGAAAGCUUCAACUGCAAGUGCCUCAACAUAGACGCAGCACAACAGAUUCACUAUACAACCAGCCUGAUUGAUAUGCAUUUUAAAUAAUAAUGCUAAAAUUUGGCACAAGGCAGUGAAAGCUCUCCCAGCCUUCCAUUCGGUUACUAACAUCAAGGGAACAAUUGCAAUGUUUUACAACAACUUCCUGAGUUUCAGUCUGGACAAAAUA